rfam:Brachypodium distachyon strain Bd21 chromosome 5, whole genome shotgun sequence.
UUAUUACUCCCUCCAUCCAACAAAAGAUCUCUCAAGUUUGACCAAAUUUGAAUGCAUCUAUAUACUAAAUCAUGUCUAGAUACAUCUAAAUUUUGAAAACUUGAGACAUCAUUUGUUGGACGAAGGAAGUAUAAA